AACGAACGCUGGCGGCAUGCCUAACACAUGCAAGUCGAACGAGACCUUCGGGUCUAGUGGCGCACGGGUGCGUAACGCGUGGGAACCUGCCCUUAGGUUCGGAAUAACUCCCCGAAAGGGGUGCUAAUACCGGAUAAUGUCUUCGGACCAAAGAUUUAUCGCCUUUGGAUGGGCCCGCGUUGGAUUAGCUAGUUGGUAGGGUAAAAGCCUACCAAGGCGACGAUCCAUAGCUGGUCUGAGAGGAUGAUCAGCCACACUGGGACUGAGACACGGCCCAGACUCCUACGGGGGGCAGCAGUGGGGAAUAUUGGACAAUGGGCGAAAGCCUGAUCCAGCAAUGCCGGGGGAGUGAUGAAGGCCUUAGGGUUGUAAAGCUUUUUUACCCGGGAUGAUAAUGACAGUCCCGGGAGAAUAAGCCCCGGCUAACUCCGU
rnacentral:rRNA from 1 species